AUUGAACGCUGGCGGCAUGCCUUACACAUGCAAGUCGAACGGUAACAGGUCUUCGGAUGCUGACGAGUGGCGAACGGGUGAGUAAUACAUCGGAACGUGCCUAGUAGGGGGGGAUAACUACUCGAAAGAGUGGCUAAUACCGCAUGAGAUCUGCGGAUGAAAGCAGGGGAUCGCAAGACCUUGUGCUACUAGAGCGGCCGAUGGCAGAUUAGGUAGUUGGUGGGAUAAAAGCUUACCAAGCCGACGAUCUGUAGCUGGUCUGAGAGGACGAUCAGCCACACUGGGACUGAGACACGGCCCAGACUCCUACGGGAGGCAGCAGUGGGGAAUUUUGGACAAUGGGCGCAAGCCUGAUCCAGCAAUGCCGCGUGCAGGAUGAAGGCCUUCGGGUUGUAAACUGCUUUUGUACGGAACGAAAAGCCCCGGGUUAAUACCCUGGGGUCAUGACGGUACCGUAAGAAUAAGCACCGGCUAACUACGUGCCAGCAGCCGCCGUAA
rnacentral:rRNA from 1 species